rnacentral:rRNA from 1 species
CUGACGAGUGGCGGACGGGUGAGUAAUGUCUGGGAAACUGCCUGAUGGAGGGGGAUAACUACUGGAAACGGUAGCUAAUACCGCAUAACGUCGCAAGACCAAAGAGGGGGACCUUCGGGCCUCUUGCCAUCGGAUGUGCCCAGAUGGGAUUAGCUUGUUGGUGGGGUAACGGCUCACCAAGGCGACGAUCCCUAGCUGGUCUGAGAGGAUGACCAGCCACACUGGAACUGAGACACGGUCCAGACUCCUACGGGAGGCAGCAGUGGGGAAUAUUGCACAAUGGGCGCAAGCCUGAUGCAGCCAUGCCGCGUGUAUGAAGAAGGCCUUCGGGUUGUAAAGUACUUUCAGCGGGGAGGAAGGGAGUAAAGUUAAUACCUUUGCUCAUUGACGUUACCCGCAGAAGAAGCACCGGCUAACUCCGUGCCAGCAGCCGCGGUAAUACGGAGGGUGCAAGCGUAAUCGGAAUUACUGG